rnacentral:rRNA from 1 species
AUUGAACGCUGGCGGCAGGCCUAACACAUGCAAGUCGAGCGGUUGAACGGAGCUUGCUCCUGGAUUCAGCGGCGGACGGGUGAGUAAUGCCUAGGAAUCUGCCUGGUAGUGGGGGAUAACGUCCGGAAACGGGCGCUAAUACCACAUACGUCCUGAGGGAGAAAGUGUGGGGUCUUCGGACCUCACGCUAUCUGAUGAUCCUAGGUCGGAUUAGCUAGUUGGUGGGGUAAAGGCCUAACACGGCGACGAUCCGUAACUGGUCUGAGAGGAUGAUCAGUCACACUGGAACUGAGACACGGUCCAGACUCCUACGGGAGGCAGCAGUGGGGAAUAUUGGACAAUGGGAGAAAGCCUGAUCCAGCCAUGCCGCGUGUGUGAAGAAGGUCUUCGGAUUGUAAAGCACUUUAAGUUGGGAGGAAGGGCAGUAAGUUAAUACCUUGCUGUGUUGACGUUAGCAACAGAAUAAGCACCGGCUAACUUCGUG